CAAGAUGUAGCUUAAUUAAUUAAAGCACCUGGCUUACACCCGGAAGAUUUCUCUUCACUAGAACAUCUUGA
rnacentral:tRNA from 1 species